UCCAGACUCCUACGGGAGGCAGCAGUGGGGAAUAUUGCACAAUGGGCGCAAGCCUGAUGCAGCCAUGCCGCGUGUAUGAAGAAGGCCUUCGGGUUGUAAAGAUCUUUAAUCAGGGACGAAAAAUGACGGUACCUGAAGAAUAAGCUCCGGCUAACUACGUGCCAGCAGCCGCGGUAAUACGUAGGGAGCAAGCGUUAUCCGGAUUUACUGGGUGUAAAGGGCGUGUAGGCGGGCCUGUAAGUCAGAAGUGAAAUCUGGGGGCUUAACCCCCAAACUGCUUUUGAAACUGCGGGUCUUGAGUGAUGGAGAGGCAGGCGGAAUUCCCAGUGUAGCGGUGAAAUGCGUAGAUAUUGGGAGGAACACCAGUGGCGAAGGCGGCCUGCUGGACAUUAACUGACGCUGAGGCGCGAAAGCGUGGGGAGCAAACAGGAUUAGAUACCCGCGUA
rnacentral:rRNA from 1 species